GACGAACGCUGGCGGCGUGCUUAACACAUGCAAGUCGAACGGAAAGGCCCUGCUUUUGUGGGGUGCUCGAGUGGCGAACGGGUGAGUAACACGUGAGUAACCUGCCCUUGACUUUGGGAUAACUUCAGGAAACUGGGGCUAAUACCGGAUAGGAGCUCCUGCUGCAUGGUGGGGGUUGGAAAGUUUCGGCGGUUGGGGAUGGACUCGCGGCUUAUCAGCUUGUUGGUGGGGUAGUGGCUUACCAAGGCUUUGACGGGUAGCCGGCCUGAGAGGGUGACCGGCCACAUUGGGACUGAGAUACGGCCCAGACUCCUACGGGAGGCAGCAGUGGGGAAUAUUGCACAAGGGGCGGAAGCCUGAUGCAGCAACGCCGCGGGCGGGAUGACGGCCUUCGGGUGGUAAACCGCUUUCGCCUGUGACGAAGCGUGAGUGACGGGAAUGGGUAAAGAAGCACCGGCUAACUACGU
rnacentral:rRNA from 1 species